rnacentral:lncRNA from 1 species
UCCGAACCCCUACCAGCCCAGCCCAGCACUGACUUCACCCCACCUACCUCUUGGAAGGGAAGCAGCGGAUGAAAACAGAGGAGGGACCGGGCAGUCCCAGCAGGAUGGGGAAGCAGACAGACCUAUGACACACCAAGCAGCUCCAGAGCCAUGACCAGCCCCUGACAAGGAGCAGCAGAAGUCUCAAAGCCUGUGAUGACCAGCCUGAGCUCACAGCAGCCCUGCUGACUGCUGUGCCCUGCACCUUGUAGAGGAUCUGCUGGGAGGACCUGGCUUCCUGGGAGGCAAAACUUCCUUGAAGAAAACACCUCUCCAUUCAUUCACGAAAUACUGUCUAGGCAGCUGUGAUGACUAAGACCUGGCCCUUGCCGUGGGAGGGGUGCUGGCACAGCCAGGAUUAUAGCAGGGCAGUGUGUGAUGGAGAUGUAAGGUGCUGGGGGGCUAGAGGAGGGAGGGAUCAGCAGAGCUGGGGCAGGGGAGUUGCAGAAGGGGCUACAGAUGUGGUGGACUCGGGUCUGUGCCUUCCAUGGGAGUAGCUAUUCCAGAAGAGAGCUGCUGCUAUGUUGCUGUGUUUAAUCAGUCAAUCCAGUGCAUAUUUACUGAGUACCCGAGAGACCCUGAAGACAUCCUGUCUCCUCCCUGAGCCCCUGUUUCUUCACUUGAAUAAUGAGGAAAUUAGACUAGGUAAAUUCUAGGGACAAACUGAGUCCCAUAUACAGAGCUAAGAAGUACAGAUUUGGGGUUUUUUUUUCCCCUAAAUACUGUGUUAUUGAUCUAAUUUAAUAACUCCAUUGUGGUCAGAGAAUUUACUUCGUAUGACCUGAAUACAUUUACAUGUAUAGAGACUUGUUUUAUGGCCCAGAAUAUGGUCCUUCUUGGUAUAUGGUCUGUGUGUACUUGAAAAGAAUGUGCAUUUUGCUACUGUUGGUGGAAUUUUACGUCAGAUCCUGUUGGUUGAUGGUGUUGUUAACGUCUAUAUCUUUUCUGUUUAUGUCUAGUUUUGGUGGAGUUUUUUUAUUUUUUAUUUUUUUUAGGGCUGCACCUGCCGCAUAUGGAAGUUCCAAGGCUAGGGGUUGAAUUGGAGCUGCAGCUGCUGGCCUGUGCCACAGCCACAGCAAUGCCAGAUCCAAGCCCCACCUGUGACCUACACCACAGUUCACGGCAAUGCCAGAUCCAUAAACUACUGAGCAAGGCCAGGGACUGAACCAUGUCCUCCUGGAUACUAGUCGGGUUCAUUACCGCUGAGUCACAAUGGGAAUUCCUGCUUUUGUCUAGUUCUGUCAGUUGUUGAUGGCAGGGGCGGGGGGCACGAUAUCCCCACCUAUAUCUGUAUCCAUAAGCCUAUUUAUUGUCUGUUUCUUCUUUCUGUUCUAUCAGUUUUUGUUUCCCACAAUUUGCAAAUGGUUGUUUGGUGUAUACACAUUUAGGAUUGCAAAGUAUAUUCUUCAUAAGUGGACAUUUUUUUCUCAUUAUAUAAUGACCUUCUCUGUUUCUAGCAACAUUUGCUUUGCUCUGAAGCCAAUAUUAAUAUAGCCUCUCAAGCUUUCUUUUAAUGUUUAGUGUUUUCAUUAUGUAUCUUUUUCCAUCCUCUUAGUUUCAACCUGCCUGUAUCACUAUAUUUAGUUUCCUAUAGACAGCAUAUAGCUGAGUCCUUAAAAAAAAUCCACU